rnacentral:rRNA from 1 species
CAACUCGCCUGUAUGAAGUCGGAAUUGCUAGUAAUCGUGGAUCAGCAUGCCACGGUGAAUACGUUCCCGGGCCUUGUACACACCGCCCGUCACACCAUGAGAGCCGGGAACACCCGAAGUCCGUAGUCUAACCUAUAUGGAGGACGCGGCCGAAGGUGGGUUUGGUAAUUGGGGUGAAGUCGUAACAAGGUAAC